rnacentral:tRNA from 1 species
GGAGAGGUGCCAGAGCGGCUGAUCGGGCCUGUCUCGAAAACAGGUGUAGCCUCACGGCUACCGAGGGUUCGAAUCCCUCCCUCUCCG